AGCAGCCGCGGUAAUUCCAGCUCCAAUAGCGUAUAUUAAAGUUGUUGCAGUUAAAAAGCUCGUAGUUGAAUUUCGGGAUCAGUUGGUCGGUCGUGCCUCGGUACGUACUGGUCAAAUUGAUUCCUACCUUCUGACGAACCACGAUGUCAUUAAUUUGGUGUCGUGGGGAAUCAGGACUGUUACUUUGAAAAAAUUAGAGUGUUUAAAGCAGGCUCGCGCUUGAAUACAUUAGCAUGGAAUAAUGAAAUAGGACGUUUGAUUCUAUUUUGUUGGUUUCUAGGAUCGACGUAAUGAUUAAUAGGGAUAGUUGGGGGCAUUAGUAUUCAAUUGUCAGAGGUGAAAUUCUUGGAUUUAUUGAAGACUAACUACUGCGAAAGCAUUUGCCAAGGAUGUUUUCAUUAAUCAAGAACGAAAGUUAGGGGAUCGAAGACGAUCAGAUACCGUCGUAGUCUUAACCAUAAACUAUGCCGACUAGGGAUCGGAUGAUGUUAAUUUUUUAAUGUACUCAUUCGGCGCCUUA
rnacentral:misc_RNA from 1 species